GAUGAACGCUAGCUACAGGCUUAACACAUGCAAGUCGAGGGGAAACGAUAGAGAAAGCUUGCUUUUUCUAGGCGUCGACCGGCGCACGAGUGAGUAACGCGUAUCCAACCUGCCCAUCACUUGGGGAUAACCUUGCGAAAGUAAGACUAAUACCCAAUGACGUCUCUAGAAGACAUCUGAAAGGGAUUAAAGAUUUAUCGGUGAUGGAUGGGGAUGCGUCUGAUUAGCUUGUUGGCGGGGUAACGGCCCACCAAGGCGACGAUCAGUAGGGGUUCUGAGAGGAAGGUCCCCCACAUUGGAACUGAGACACGGUCCGAACUCCUACGGGAGGCAGCAGUGAGGAAUAUUGGUCAAUGGACGAGAGUCUGAACCAGCCAAGUAGCGUGCAGGAUGACGGCCCUAUGGGUUGUAAACUGCUUUUAUAAGGGAAUAAAGUGGGAGUCGUGACUCUUUUUGCAUGUACCUUAUGAAUAAGGACCGGCUAAUUCCGUGCCAGCAGCCGCCGUAACAC
rnacentral:rRNA from 1 species